UACGGAAGGGGCAAGCGUUGUUCGGAAUCAUUGGGCGUAAAGGGCGCGUAGGUGGUUCUGUAUGUCUACCGUGAAAGCGUACGGCUCAACCGUAUUUUGUCGGUAGAAACUGCAGGACUUGAGGCUGGGAGGGGCUGGUGGAAUUCCCUGUGUAGCGGUGAAAUGCGUAGAUAUCGGAAGGAACACCUGUGGCGAAAGCGGCUCACUGGACCAUAACUGACGCUGAGGCGCGAAAGCUAGGGGAGCAAACAGG
rnacentral:rRNA from 1 species